CCUUGAUAUUUAGAAGUCCAAAAGUCCCGUUAAUUUGAAUCAACCAUCAAUUGGAAAACCAAAAGUCAAAGUCCCAUUACUUCGUUGUUAUGUAGUAGCAGACUAGCAGUACUAAUUAAAUCCAACCACCGCAUUUCUUAAUUGGGAAAAUAGAAGCCAAGCCUCACUGCCUAACCGUCUACAAGGAUCCAUUUGCAACCAGGUCCCCAAACUCCGGUGAAGCCGUAGACGCUGCCUCUGAGAAAUAAUAAGUUCAAGAUUAGAUAUACAUGGAACUUACAAGUUUAGAUGGAACUGUCAAAUGAAAGAGGAAUAGAAAACAAGAGGAGAAAACGCCGUAGAGGACUCUUCUGAUCAGGGGUGGCUCGACUAUAAGAGAGCUAUCGCGGAAAAGGGCAGUAGACAGAGGGAUGUCCUUCGACUAUUGUUUUGCAAAAUCAAGCCAAUCUACAGAGGAAUAGACCAAGACUGAUAUGUUUUUCUUCUUCUUUUAGCCUUUCUUUCGCUCCAAUUACCGGGACUAACAGAGAGGUUAGAGGAGAUUCAGGGAAGACCAAUAAUAUUCACAUCCCAAGUUGCGGUUUAUUGAUUCAGAUAGGAUUCUUGCAAUCGAGAAACAUAUGACCGUUGAAUGGAGCAAAGUAGAGGAAAUGAAAUGGGAAGAAGACUAGGAGAUUUGACCCACAAGUUCAAAAGUAGAAUAGUUAGAAUUAUAUCCAUACCGCCUCUGAAAACUCUGGGCAUAGGUAAGUGGAAUAUCUACGCGUCCUUCUGAAACGCCUCAACGAGAAAAUAGCAGGUAACUACGUAUUGUUUAAGAACUCAAACAGCAGGUUAAUGAAGACAAGACAGAGCAUUCAAAUGUCUUUCGGGAAGCUGUGGCUCUUUACUAGGUAAACUGUCAAUGUACAUUAUUUAUCUAAACAUUGUACUGAAUGGAUCAAACUAUUUGCCGGCAGGGCUAGAACAAAGCUUGACUAAUCAUACCGUAGAAGCAGAACAGUAGAGGGAGAAUUGCUAUCACACUCAGGAUGAGAACUUCUGGCAUCUCAUAUUUUGUUUGGGAAUUUUCCUUUUUUACCAUUUGGUUGUUGAUUUCAGUUUGAGGUCUUCCUGUUAUCUGUUGAAGAAAGAAUGUAAAGUGAUCUUUGUUUUGUUUAUAUGCAUGUUGUUCAAGGUUUGACUUUAAUAAUGGUUCCAGUUCUCAAUAAUUGUUUGCCGAUGAA